ensembl:lncRNA
CUGCAUGCAAGCGAAGACCAGGGAAAACUCUCUGAGCUUAUCCUAACAAGGGAACAGCUCCGCCCCUCAUACACAGACACUCUGCUGCACAAAAGCUCUUGAGUGAUCAAGCCUGGUCCCUGGUCCCAGAGCUAAAUCUUCAGAGAUCACGAAUCCGACAUCAUUCACAGUUCCAUAAACUGUAUAGCAACCAAGUUCCCUCUCCUAGGCUCCAAGCUGCCCAGCCUCCCACCUGUAGACUCAAAACACCACCAGGUUUGGAGACUCAUGGCAGCCCACUCCAGUCCUCUUGCCUGGAAAAUCCCACGGACGAAGGAGCCUGGCGGGUUACAGUCCCUGGGGUCGCAGAGAGUCGGACAGGACUGAGCGACUUCACUUUCACUUUCCGAGACUCAUGCCAAAACGUCCGCACGGAACCCUUCUCUCAGAACUGCAUCGCGCCUGAUUUCCUGCCGGUGCCAUGUUCCUCUGUGACUUUGAUGGCAUCCCUCCCUUCCUUUCCUCGGGGCACGGAGCGAUCUCCGAGCUCUAUUAGCCCAGCACCAAGUGCAGGUCAGUACUACCUGCAAUCAUCCCCCGGCACCGACCACCUGCCGGCUUGGACGCUCACUGCCUGCCUGCUGCCAGUUUGAGAGCCCUCAGCCACCAGCCAGGACAUCUGUCCCCAGACCACUGCCAGGCCUCCCAGCUACCAGCCACCCGCCCGCAGGCCCGCCUCACACGCUCGCUGGGUGGAAGCCAAGCGGUCCUCUGCUGCCCACCCGCGGGUCCUGCAGCACCAGCCGAAACCAGACCUGAACGCGGAUGUGAGCCCUGAAUCAACACAGGGACAGGAUGGCUCUCAUUAUUUCUGAAAUGAGUGCAUUGUUUUCUGUACUUGAAUGCGCUGUCUUAAUACCUAUAUUUACUCUAUUUUGUAGCUCACUUUUUAUUAUCUAAUUUGUUCGUCAACUGGCCUUUCUCUGGAGGUAAAGCACAUAUUCAGGAAAGUGCACAACACAUAACUAUGUAUCAUCACAUAGCAAGCAUAUCCAAGCAAGCGGUUUCCAGGUGAAGAAAUAAGACACCGUUCACCCCGGAGGUUCCCUCAGGCCCCUUUCCAAUCACUACUCUUUAAUCCUCAUCCAAGGCAACUUCUAUCCUGACUUCUAAACCCACAGUCCCCUUUUGCCUUUUUUUAAAUUUUAUAGAAGGGGAAUAAGACAUUAUAUAUUCUCUUUAGUCUGCCUUUUUUAUUCUAUAUUUAUUAGAUUAAGCCAUGUUUACUUCCGUGGCUGUGAUUCAUUUGUAUUAUUAUUUUAAAAAGUCCAUUGUAUGAACCUACCAUUAUUCAUAUAUUCAUUUUACUCAUGAUGACUAUUUGGGCUUUUUCUUGGUUUGGGCUGUAACUAAUAAUACUGCUUUGACUAUACUUGGGCAUGUCAUUUACAACACAUAUGCUUGUGCUGCUGUUGGGAAAAUACUGAUUGAGUUAUAGGGCACACAUACCUCCAACUUUAGGACACAAAUACCAAACUAUCUUCAAAGCAGUUGAACUAACUUGCAUGCCUCCUGACAGUGUGUGAGGAUCCCUGUCACUGCACAUCAUCAUUAAUGCUUGAUAUUUUUUAACUGUUUUCAAUUGAGGGUACUAUUAUCUCAUGGCUUAGUUUGUAGGAACAAGAAGUAUUCACUUUAAUGUAGUCCAAUUUAUUAUAUUUCCCUUUUUAAUUGCUCAUUUUGCUGUCCUGUUUAAGAAAUCUUUCCUCAUCUCAAGGCUAUAAACAUAGUUUCCUAUAAUAUAUUAAAGAACCGCACUGUGCAUUACUAUAGUCACUAGGUACACGUGGCUACUGAAAUUUAAAUUUAUAUCAACUAAAAUUUUUAAGACAUAAAAAUUCAGUUUUUCAUUCACAUUAGCAACAUGUCAAGGGCUCAACAAGCCCAUGAGUCUAGUGGCUACUGUAAAGGACAGCAUGGUUACAGAAUAUUUCUGACAUCAUGUAAAGUUCCACUGAGUGUAAAGUUCUCUUCUAGCAGCUUUACUGACUAUCGUUUUACUUUUUCAUAUUUAUGCCC